GAGGAAAGAGGUCAAAGUAAUUGUAUUUAUUGAGUUCUUGCUUUGUACCAGCUGCUGUCCUAUGACUUUAAAGAUAUAAUCUCAUUUAAUGCUUAUAAUAAGACUCUUAUCAUUAUGAAAACUGUACAGAUGCAAAACUAAGGUAAAAUUUAAAUACCUUACUCAAGAUCACUUAGCUACUUGAAGAUGAAGGUAGGAUACUGUUAUAGACUGAAUUGUGUCUCCCCCAAAAUAUGUGUCAACUUGGUGAGGCCAUGAUUCCUAGUGUUGUGUGGUUGUCCUCCAUUUUGUGAUUGAUGUAAUUUUUCUAUGUGUUGUAAAUCCUAAUCUCUGCCUGUGGUUAAUGAGGCAAGAUUAGAUUAUGUUGAAGAGGAUUAGGGUGGGAUGUAACACCCUUACUCAGAUCACAUCCCUGACCCAAUGUAAAGGGUGUUUUCCUAGGAUGUGGCCUGUAUCACCUCUUACAAGAGAUAAAAGGAGAGAGAAGUGAGCAGAGAGUUGGGGACCUCAUACCACCAAAAAAGCAGUACCAGGAGCAGAGUGCAUCCUUGGGACCUCAGAUUCCUGUUCAGAGGAGCUCCUUGACCAGAGGAAGAUUGAUGACAAGGACCUUCUUCCAGAGUCGACGGAGAAAUCCUCCCCUGAAGCUGACGCCCUGAAUUCGGACUUCUAGCCUGCUAGACUGUGAGGGAAUAAACUUCUGUUUGUUAAAGCCAACCACUUGUGGUAUUUCUGUUACAGCACCACUAGAUCACUAAGACAUGCUCAUAAGCCCUAUGCUGUAUUGCCUUGUGUAGGUGGCCUGCCUUAACAGCGCAAAGUUUGCAAGGUUAGUAUUCAGAUUAGUGUUCAAAUCCUAUGGAUUUUACAAAAUGAUCCUAGAAAAUUUGUGUGGAGGAGGGCUCUCUGGAUAGGAAUUGAUAGAAACAACUUAAACUAGCUUAAGUUAAAAGGGAGAUUUUUGGCAACAAACUGAGAUGGCUCUCAGAAUGAAGGAUGAAGUUGACAGCUAAGGCUUGGAAGGCCAGGAAACAGAGCAUCUCUGGGGUUUCAGCUCCUGGAACCAGGGAUUUGAAAACUCCCAGGGCCUUCCUACCUCUCACCUUUUUCCUUUCCUCAGAUUGACUUCAUUUGCUCCUAUUGCAGGAGGGCUCUGUCAUAGGGUAGGGGAUGACAUCUGCCACCUGUGGGCUCCUAGCCUAGCAAACAGCUUCACAGGCAGGCAGGCAGAAAUAAAGCCCUUUUCUUUCUCAGUUCAGGGUAAAAAGUUCCCAGGGAAGAAGAGUGAUUGGUCCAGCUUAGGUCAUGUGCCUAACCGUGGACCAACCACUGUGGCCCUGAGGCAGAGUUAUAUGAUUGGCAGCCCCCACCCACUAGGAUCACAUGGUUUAAAGGAGCCUUUCCCAGAAGAAGGAAGCUGCUGUUCUAGACAGGCAAAACAAUAAAUGCUCAAGAAAAAUAGGACUAUUAGCAAGAGAAUUACAAGGAUCAGGAGGUGCAAAACAGCCAAGAUUGAACGGUUCAACAGCAAGGAUAAAAUGCUCAAUAAACUUUGGAAACACUAUGUAAUGAAAACAAGAGUUAGACAUGAGGAGUGGAGAUGUAUCUAAACUAAGUAGAAGGUCUAAAGAGCAAUUAAAAGAUGAAUUAGGAUACCAGCUCUGAAACCUUAAAAUAGUUCUAUUAUUAAGGCAGAUGGAUUCUGGGAGAGUUGAUUAACGCAGGGUCAUGCUCAUAGCUUGUGCCCACUAAAUAUUAAUUCAUUUUGAUGACAGGUCUUAUUAGGAAUUAUUGCUUGUGGCACUUUACAUAUCUAUAACAUAUAUUUUUAGCAGAAUAAUUUGCAUAUGUAAAGUUCUGCAUAAAUGCAACCAAUACUUAAUUUAUUAUAGAGUCAGUGGGUUUAUAUUUACUCUUUCAAGCAUGCAUGUAUUCAUUUAUCUAUUUUCUACUAAUUGAAUGUGUACUCUAUUCCGGGUACUCUGUUGGGCAUAUCCUGUUUCUGCCUUCAAAGUGCUUAGUGUCCAGAGCAGGAGACAGAGUUAUAAAUAAAUUGUGCCUGGAUAGGCGAAUGCUGUGGGGCAUUGCCCACAUCAUCCCUUCAACACUGAGGCACUCUUUCCCCCAUCUAUGGGGAGUGUUUCCUGUUAUAGGCUCACAGAUGAGUCCAUCCCCUGGAAUUGCCCUUGGCUGAAGGGUGCUGCCUCCUCCAAGGGUACAAUCCUGAUGCAGGGAUAGUCCAAUGGUUGGUGAAUGACUGGUCAUUGAGGUGUUAUAAAGGCCCAGCAUCUUUGCUUCAAUUGGAGACAACAUCUAUAACAUCUAUGUUGGAUAUUCUGCUUGGAGGGUUGGAGGAAAGAGAAGCUGGCAGAGUACUUACUCACCCAUUCCACAGCUCCCUGCUUGCCUGGUCACGGUUUGGCAGUGGCUGUGUUCAAGAACACCUGUCCUUGGCCCCUCUUCCUUGGCUGUAAUUCCCUCCCCUGCCCCAUCAGGCCUAGGGGUGCUAACAGCUUCCUUCUGUUUGAGUCUCUGGCGUUUCUCCUUCCUCUUGCUGGGCGCUUAACCCUGCCAACCAUCAGGAAGGUAUAAUAUUGGGCAUCUAGCACUGUUUUUUUUUUUUUUUUUUUAGUAACCGAAAAAAAACAAACCAUAUGCUGUGGAGUCAGUUCCAACUCAUGGCGACCCGAUGUGUGUCAGAGUAGAACUGUGCUCCCUAGGGUUUCAGUGGCUGCAACCUUUUGGAAGUAGAUCACCAGGCUUUUCUUCCAAGGUGCCUCUGGAUGGAUUCCACCUGCCAAACUUUCAGUUUGUAGCCAAACUCCUGUUUGUGCUACCCAGGGACCCUGCCCUGGAAUUUAGUAGCUAUAUUAUUAAUUUUUUUAUUAUUAAUAUUAAAUUAAUAGCUAAGCUCUCAGAGAAAAUUCUUGUCAGUUCUUUCUAAUCUCGAAUCUAUUUCUUGCCAUCUGCACUAGUCUGUGCCCCAUCUUCUCUCUCCUGGGUUCCUGCAAUACCUCCUAAUGGGACUUGAUGCUCUCUCUGUUCUGGUUAUUUUUCUAUGGGCUCCAAGAUACCCUUCUGCACUCUCUUCUGUAAUACUGGGGUUGGUAUUUCGCAAACCAAAUCUCCCCGCCUCCCUGCUAGCUGGCUUCCUAUCAGUGCCGCAAUGCGAGGUGCAAGGCAAUAGAAGGAGAUUGGAAGGAGGAAGGGGCUCCUUUCCUAUUUUUCGCUUCCUGUUUUCAGUGUUGCUCCAGUAGCAGUAGAAAAUUGGCUCUAUUUUUUAGCUCCUUUGAAUACUCCCAGCUCCAACCUUGCUGUGCCUUCCCUCACUCCUGAGCUGCCAGCAGCAGCCAGCCAGGCCUGGGAGACCACCCAUGCCACACUCCUUACCUGUUGGACUGUGCCCCUGGGAGGUCUGAGCACCCAUGGAGACUCACUCCUUGGUGCAAGCACCAGCCACACAGCAACCCCCUCCGCAGAGGUCUGAGUGGGGCAGAGCUUCCUCCAGAGAUCUAAGCACUAGCCUCACUUGGCCCCUCCUCCAAGCUCCCAGCUUCCCUCCGGUUCUCCACCCUUAGAAGGUCUUCUCAGUUGAACUGUUGCCCCACUGUUACCACAGCUUGCUCUACUUGCCAGUGAAAGAUGGGUAUCCCCUAGAGAAAGCAGAGCAACAAGAAAGAAGACUCCUGGACCCCCAACAAUGUGGACCUGCCUUAUCAGUCCUGGACUGCAUGUUUGAGAGAGAAUUAAAUUUCUGUCUUGUCCGAGUCAUUGUUACUUUGGUCAAUAUCCUAAUAGAGAAACUGAUUAAAAGCAAAUUUCUGAACCUCUA